rnacentral:rRNA from 1 species
CCUCCUACGGGGGCAGCAGUAGGGAAUCUUCCACAAUGGACGAAAGUCUGAUGGAGCAACGCCGCGUGAGUGAAGAAGGGUUUCGGCUCGUAAAGCUCUGUUGGUAGUGAAGAAAGAUAGAGGUAGUAACUGGCCUUUAUUUGACGGUAAUUACUUAGAAAGUCACGGCUAACUACGUGCCAGCAGCCGCGGUAAUACGUAGGUGGCAAGCGUUGUCCGGAUCUAUUGGGCGUAAAGCGAGUGCAGGCGGUUCAAUAAGUCUUGUGUGAAAGCCUUCCGCCCCAACCGAGAAUU